rnacentral:rRNA from 1 species
UACGUAGGGGGCAAGCGUUGUCCGGAUUUAUUGGGCGUAAAGAGCGUGUAGGCGGCCAGGUAGGUCUGCUGUGAAAACUCGAGGCUUAACCUCGAGCUGUCGGCGGAAACCAUCUGGCUAGAGUCCGGAAGAGGAGAAUGGAAUUCCCGGUGUAGUGGUGAAAUGCGUAGAUAUCGGGAGGAACACCAGUGGCGAAGGCGGCUUCCUGGCCUGUUCUUGACGCUGAGGCGCGAAAGCUAGGGGAGCAAACGGG